CAUUCGUGCACUUACUCAUCUUAGCCUUACAAGGCCCUGCUAACUUCCUGGAGGCAGAGAAAUAAUGGAGUUGACUCCCUUCCGGGGCCUCCAGAGGGAUCUGUAAAUAAUACUUGCUCAAAAAAUGUUUUGGAGUUACCAACAAUUCAGAAAAGUUGAGCUUGUCUUGCUUGAGUCACAAUGUACUCAUUGUCCCUGUGAGGGACCCAGGAAAGAUGGGGACUAGGGCCCAGCUGGUGGCUCAGUCCCCCUACAGGGACCAUUUAGACCAGCUGAGGACAGAGUAAGAACUGCUGUGAGGAAGGCAUCUCAGAGGAGGAAGGAAGGCAUGUGUUGGUCUAAGGAACAUUGACCCCUUGCCAUCUUACCAUUCAGACGCUGGCAGGAGACUUUGGAUCUCAUCUAAGGGGACAGUUCAUACAGCUGCAUUCCCAGUGACCAGAGAAGCCCGUGCCUGCCCAUCACCAGCGCAUGUGUGGAGGGCCUCCAGCAGCUUUCAUUUAUCCUGCAAACAUCAUAGUCUCCACAGGAGAGAAGGUGGCUGGAUCACGGAUGUGGCAGUUUCUCCAGGUCCCUCUCAUUGGUGACUGAGGAGCUGGGUCAGGAGUUGUAGGGGAGCUUUCUGCUGCUGUUGUAUGUAUAACUAGUGUCCUGGGGGUGGUGGCUGUCAGGGGGGGUGCCCCUAGGUGGAAGAAGGGACCUGUAAGGGCUGUGUAAGUAAACAGAGAACAAUUCAAGAAAUAGUGGAUGUUACUGUAGAAGGGAUUUAGAGAUUGUCCCCAACCAUUUACAGUUGGAAACACAGGGCUCUGAAGAGGGAAAUGGUAUUGACAGGAACAAGUCACAUAGGGGUUAGUAAUAAUAAUUGUCAUCAUCACACUGGACAUUUAUUAAGUACUUAUUUACUAUGUAUCAGGGAUUAUUGUAAAUUUUCUACAUCUCUUAAUUUACACACCUUCACUACCCUAGGAGGUGAGUAUUGUUAUGCCCAUUUUACAGAUGAGGAAAUGGAGACUAGUACAGGGAGAUCAGUUUCUUUAGAGCAUACAGUAAGCCAAUGGCAGAGC
rnacentral:lncRNA from 1 species